rnacentral:rRNA from 1 species
CACUGCAUUCUGUGCAGUAUCCUAAGUUGAAUACAUAGACUUAGAGAAGCGAACCCGGAGAACUGAACCAUCUAAGUACCCGGAGGAAAAGAAAUCAACCGAGAUUCCGCAAGUAGUGGCGAGCGAACGCGGAGGAGCCUGUACGUGAUAAUUGUCGAGAUAGAAGAACAAGCUGGGAAGCUUGACCAUAGUGGGUGAUAGUCCCGUAUUCGAAAUCUCAAUAGUGGUACUAAGCGUGCGAAAAGUAGGGCGGGACACGUGAAAUCCUGUCUGAAGAUGGGGGGACCAUCCUCCAAGGCUAAAUACUCAUCAUCGACCGAUAGUGAACCAGUACCGUGAGGGAAAGGCGAAAAGAACCCCGGGAGGGGAGUGAAAUAGAACCUGAAACCUGAUGCAUACAAACAGUGGGAGCACCCUUAUGGUGUGACUGCGUACCUUUUGUAUAAUGGGUCAACGACUUACAUUCAGUAGCGAGCUUAACCGGAUAGGGGAGGCGUAGGGAAACCGAGUCUUAAUAGGGCGAAAAGUUGCUGGGUGUAGACCCGAAACCGAGUGAUCUAUCCAUGGCCAGGUUGAAGGUGCCGUAACAGGUACUGGAGGACCGAACCCACGCAUGUUGCAAAAUGCGGGGAUGAGCUGUGGAUAGGGGUGAAAGGCUAAACAAACUCGGAGAUAGCUGGUUCUCCCCGAAAACUAUUUAGGUAGUGCCUCGAGCAAGACACUGAUGGGGGUAAAGCACUGUUAUGGCUAGGGGGUUAUUGCAACUUACCAACCCAUGGCAAACUCAGAAUACCAUCAAGUGGUUCCUCGGGAGACAGACAGCGGGUGCUAACGUCCGUUGUCAAGAGGGAAACAACCCAGACCGCCAGCUAAGGUCCCAAAUGAUAGAUUAAGUGGUAAACGAAGUGGGAAGGCCCAGACAGCCAGGAUGUUGGCUUAGAAGCAGCCAUCAUUUAAAGAAAGCGUAAUAGCUCACUGGUCGAGUCGUCCUGCGCGGAAGAUGUAACGGGGCUCAAAUCUAUAACCGAAGCUGCGGAUGCUAGUUUACUAGCAUGGUAGGGGAGCGUUCUGUAGGCCGAAGAAGGUGCAUUGUAAAGUGUGCUGGAGGUAUCAGAAGUGCGAAUGUUGACAUGAGUAGCGAUAAAGCGGGUGAAAAGCCCGCUCGCCGAAAGCCCAAGGUUUCCUACGCAACGUUCAUCGGCGUAGGGUGAGUCGGCCCCUAAGGCGAGGCAGAAAUGCGUAGUCGAUGGGAAACAGGUUAAUAUUCCUGUACUUGAUUCAAAUGCGAUGUGGGGACGGAGAAGGUUAGGUUAGCAAGCUGUUGGAAUAGCUUGUUUAAGCCGGUAGGUGGAAGACUUAGGCAAAUCCGGGUCUUCUUAACACCGAGAAGUGACGACGAGUGUCUACGGACAUGAAGUAACCGAUACCACGCUUCCAGGAAAAGCCACUAAGCUUCAGUUUGAAUCGAACCGUACCGCAAACCGACACAGGUGGGCAGGAUGAGAAUUCUAAGGCGCUUGAGAGAACUCGGGAGAAGGAACUCGGCAAAUUGAUACCGUAACUUCGGGAGAAGGUAUGCCCUCUAAGGUUAAGGACUUGCUCCGUAAGCCUUGGAGGGUCGCAGAGAAUAGGUGGCUGCGACUGUUUAUUAAAAACACAGCACUCUGCUAACACGAAAGUGGACGUAUAGGGUGUGACGCCUGCCCGGUGCUGGAAGGUUAAUUGAAGAUGUGAGAGCAUCGGAUCGAAGCCCCAGUAAACGGCGGCCGUAACUAUAACGGUCCUAAGGUAGCGAAAUUCCUUGUCGGGUAAGUUCCGACCCGCACGAAUGGCGUAACGAUGGCCACACUGUCUCCUCCCGAGACUCAGCGAAGUUGAAGUGGUUGUGAAGAUGCAAUCUACCCGCUGCUAGACGGAAAGACCCCGUGAACCUUUACUGUAGCUUUGCAUUGGACUUUGAAGUCACUUGUGUAGGAUAGGUGGGAGGCUUAGAAGCAGGGACGCCAGUCUCUGUGGAGCCGUCCUUGAAAUACCACCCUGGUGGCUUUGAGGUUCUAACCCAGACCCGUUAUCCGGGUCGGGGACCGUGCAUGGUAGGC